rfam:Gossypium hirsutum cultivar TM-1 chromosome 19, whole genome shotgun sequence
UAUUAAAGAUUUCAUCCAUUUUUACUGUUAAAACUAAACGUGAUUGAUGGAAUAAGUAGACGUUACCUCAUGUUGAUGUACAUGGAGCAGUUUUUAACAAUAAAAAUGGAUGAAAUUUUAACA